UACGGAGGAUGCGAGCGUUAUCCGGAUUUAUUGGGUUUAAAGGGUGCGUAGGCGGGUUAUCAAGUCAGCGGUAAAAUCGUGGAGCUCAACUCCAUCCAGCCGUUGAAACUGGCUGGCUUGAGUUGGGGAAAGGCAGGCGGAAUGCGCGGUGUAGCGGUGAAAUGCAUAGAUAUCGCGCAGAACCCCGAUUGCGAAGGCAGCAUGCCGGCUCCACACUGACGCUGAGGCUCGAAAGCGUGGGUAUCGAACAGG
rnacentral:rRNA from 1 species